CUCGAGGACGACUUAGGAUUUAACUGUCAAUCCUAGAUAAGUCAUCUAUAUUGUAUUUCAAUCUUUUUUAAAUUCAUCAUAUGGAUUAUUCGGAUCUAAAUUUUGUUAAAUUGAAAUACAUUGAUACAUUAACUCCUACUAAUUUGAAGGGGUCAAUUCCAUCUUGACUUACGCAUUAAUUUGAUAAGUACUUGACUGCAUCCA
rnacentral:lncRNA from 1 species